rnacentral:rRNA from 1 species
UACGGAGGGAGCUAGCGUUGUUCGGAAUUACUGGGCGUAAAGGGCUCGUAGGCGGCCAACUAAGUCAUACGUGAAAUCCCUCAGCUUAACUGGGGAACUGCGUCUGAUACUGGAUGGCUUGGAUUCGGGAGAGGAAUGCGGAAUUCCACGUGUAGCAGUGAAAUGCGUAGAGAUGUGGAGGAACACCGAUGGCGAAGGCAGCCUCCUGGGCCAGCACUGACGCUCAUGCACGAAAGCGUGGGGAGCAAACAGG